AGCGAACGCUGGCGGCAGGCCUAACACAUGCAAGUCGAACGGAUCCUUCGGGAUUAGUGGCGGACGGGUGAGUAACACGUGGGAACGUGCCCUUUGGUUCGGAACAACUCAGGGAAACUUGAGCUAAUACCGGAUGUGCCCUUCGGGGGAAAGAUUUAUCGCCAUUGGAGCGGCCCGCGUCUGAUUAGCUAGUUGGUGAGGUAAAGGCUCCCCAAGGCGACGAUCAGUAGCUGGUCUGAGAGGAUGAUCAGCCACAUUGGGACUGAGACACGGCCCAAACUCCUACGGGAGGCAGCAGUGGGGAAUCUUGCGCAAUGGGCGAAAGCCUGACGCAGCCAUGCCGCGUGAAUGAUGAAGGUCUUAGGAUUGUAAAAUUCUUUCACCGGGGACGAUAAUGACGGUACCCGGAGAAGAAGCCACGGCUAACUCUGUGCCAGCAGCCGCCGUAAAAC
rnacentral:rRNA from 1 species